CAGUAGCCGCGGUAAAACGGAGGGUGCAAGCGUUAAUCGGAAUUACUGGGCGUAAAGCGUGCGUAGGCGGUUCGUUAAGUCUGUUGUGAAAGCCCCGGGCUCAACCUGGGAAUGGCAAUGGAUACUGGCGAGCUAGAGUGUGUCAGAGGAUGGUGGAAUUCCCGGUGUAGCGGUGAAAUGCGUAGAGAUCGGGAGGAACAUCAGUGGCGAAGGCGGCCAUCUGGGACAACACUGACGCUGAGGCACGAAAGCGUGGGGAGCAAACAGGAUUAGAUACCCCAGUAGUCCCUGUCUCUUAUAA
rnacentral:rRNA from 1 species